ACGAUAGGACCAGGACCCCUCUUGUCCGGAGAGGGGGACCUCUCGGCCGAAGAGAGA
rnacentral:ribozyme from 1 species